rnacentral:rRNA from 1 species
UACGUAGGUGGCGAGCGUUGUCCGGAUUUACUGGGCGUAAAGAGCGCGCAGGCGGUCGUUCAAGUCGCGUGUGAAAGCCCACGGCUCAACCGUGGAGGGUCAUUGGAAACUGGGGAACUUGAGUGCAGAAGAGGAAAGUGGAAUUCCAAGUGUAGCGGUGAAAUGCGUAGAGAUUUGGAGGAACACCAGUGGCGAAGGCGACUUUCUGGUCUGUAACUGACACUGAGGCGCGAAAGCGUGGGGAGCAAACAGG